AUAUGACAUUGGAGUGCUCUUCAAUCUAAUUGGUUUAGUUGUCAUUAUUUAUGAUCAUAUUUGGGCCUCGUAUUUAGAUGUUAUGAAAGUGUUUUUAUCAUCAAAUCACAAGUUUCUUUUUGUGUCACUGUUAUAAAUCUAGUUUGAUAGAAUCACUUGUUUUCAGCACAUUUUUAAGUAUCUGCAAGCGGAGGCCAUCAAAAAAGAGCAGCAAGACUUUUUGACGGGAUGGAAGGGCUUUUUCAAAAUGAAUGUGGGUCGUCAGAACAACGACAGCGACUGCGGGGCUUUUGUGCUACAGUACUGCAAGUGUCUGGCCCUAGGUCAGCCCUUCAUCUUUGGCCAGCAGGAUAUGCCGCGGCUGAGGAGGCAAAUGUACAAAGAACUCUGUCACUGCAAGCUCACCCUGUGACCCACCACCCCCCCAGCCCCGCCCGCCAUCUCCACCUGCUCCCACCCCCAACCCUAACAAGAUGGAGGGACAAUGAUAUGACAAGAAGAGGGCAAGUGGAGCAAACGAUUGACUGGGGGAAAAAAAGACACACAGAGAGAGAAACUUUUCAUUGAAAAAACUUUUUUUUUUCUUCUCUGCAAACAUCCAGAGAAACGACUUCUUCUAUUGUAGGUGAUGUCAUUGUUUCACUUUUUUUCCUCUCUCUCCGCUUCCCUCUCCACCCUUUUUGAGAACUCUUGAUUUCAUUUCCAUGUCAUGGUUAUUCCUUUGUGGUUGACAGAGGCCAAGACUAGCUUCCGUUUUGGGAACGUGCUUACCUUCCAUCCUAUCGUAGUCCACCUUGAGCAUGAAGACGUCUGAAGGAUACGGUCCAGAUGAAGACUUUGGACCACAGUCGGUCCAACCUGACUACUAUUUUCCCAGCCGAAUGAAUUGAACCAGUCUGCGUAAGCUUGUGGUUAAAUAGUACCAGCGGAUGUACACGCCUUCCAUCCAAUCCAUUGUGUUGUGUUCCAAGUUUGAAACUCAAAGCAAAAGAAACAUAAAAUACACUGCCCCAUGCUACGGCCAAUGUCAUGUGUCAUGUCGACGAGUCCAUCUGUCUAGUCAGCACAUAAUGUUUGCCACUUUAGUGAGAUUUCCAAUGUAUGAUAUUCGUUUAACAAUUUCCUACAAGAUGUUUGGAUGGAUUUAAAGUGAGAGUGGAACUUAACGUGCUGCCAUAUUGACAUCAGAAAACUCAUCCG